rnacentral:rRNA from 1 species
UGCCAGCCUCCGCUGUACUCCUGAUUGUGCAAUCGUUAAUCGGAAUUACUGGGCGUAAAGCGCGCGUAGGCGGCUUUGUAAGUCGGAUGUGAAAGCCCCGGGCUUAACCUGGGAAUUGCAUUCGAUACUGCAGAACUAGAGUAUGGUAGAGGGAAGUGGAAUUCCGGGUGUAGAGGUGAAAUUCGUAGAUAUUCGGUGGAACACCAGUGGCGAAGGCGACUAACUGGACUGAUACUGACGCUGAGGUGCGAAAGUGUGGGGAGCAAACAGGAUUAGAUA